rnacentral:rRNA from 1 species
GACGUAGGGGGCCAGCGUUGUUCGGAAUUACUGGGUGUAAAGGGUUCGUAGGCGGUGCGGCAGGUCGGGAGUGAAAUCUCUGGGCUUAACCCAGAGGCUGCUUCCGAAACUGCUGUGCUUGAGUGUGGGAGAGGCGCGUGGAAUUGCAGGUGUAGCGGUGAAAUGCGUAGAUAUCUGCAGGAACACCCGUGGCGAAAGCGGCGCGCUGGACCACUACUGACGCUGAGGAACGAAAGCUAGGGGAGCAAACAGG